AUACAUAUGAGGAGUGUAUUGCACAAUGAAUCCGCUUAAACUAGGUCCCAAAGCGGUUCCUAGAUGGUAAGCAGCAAAAUUUAAUCCUAAAUACCAUGCACGAAACUCGGUCUUAGAACAAUCUGCAACAAAGGAAUUUUGGCUGGCUACAACGGUAGAAAUAUAACCGCCUAAGCCUUUCAAGGCAGCAGCAAAAAGAACAAAAUAUGGAUGCUUGGGGGCAUAGGACUGAUAUAAAAGCCAUAAAUCACCAAGCAGCAAAAAUGAGACGGUAAUGAAAAGUACAAGGCGGCGACCAUAAAUAUCCCCCAUUGUUCCAUAAUAAGCGGUGGAAAAAAGACCUAAAAAGGCGGCUAAAGAGCCAAAAGCGGCACGGACUUUUGAAACACCAGUAGUAAUUUCCGCUAGUCGGCAUAUUGGGUCAUCUGGGGACAACUGUGUAGGAUCAAGGUUAUAAUGAAUGGCACAUAGUUCCUGUCGAAGUAAAAAGAGCAGAGGUAUUUCAAUCAUGCCCCAAGAAAAGGCAUUAAUAAAGUUUAAUGGAAGAAUCAAAAGUGGAGAUAAAGAACGUCUUCUGGCGAUUUCACGACAACAGUUAUCAUUGUUACAUAUAGAUUCAUUAUUAUGAUGAGAAUUAGAUGAAUCUGGUUCAUUGAAAGAGAUGGGUUCAUUAGAAUUGGAGGUAGAGUCGUAAUUUUUAGGCUUCGCCUUAAAUGAGUCAUGCGAGCUUGACUUUGCAACGUUAUUAUUGCUUGAACUGGCACCAUUGGUUUCAUGCUUUAAUGAAUGAGAAUUACCGUUGCAUGCAGAACCUUUAGCUUGCAAAGGACAAUCAGAACAGUAUUCUCUUUCUGGUGAAGGAGUUCUGGAUCGAAAGGGCUUGUUCACUGACGGAUCGGAAAUUAGUAAUGGAGUAUGAUCAUCAUCGUGUGAAGACAUUUGUAGCUCCUUCUCAAAAUGGUGGGUACGCUGAUAAAAUAGAAUGUAAAUUAUAACCCAAAUACUCUUCUACUCGAAAUGUUCGCAAUAAUCAAUUAACUCGUUGCCCUCAAACUGCAGCAUCAAUUGUAAAAUUCCUUGCACCUAUAUCCUAAAAAUUUUUCUAUAUGCAAUAUAUACGUUUCACAACGUUUUCGAUUUCGAGAUAAUUAGAAGACUUUAGGUAGUUGGUGCUACUAAGAAGGUUGAGAACCGAAGGAAAAUAUUUGCUCGAGAAAGUAAUUUUGAACUACUAGUUACUAUGAAGAAAUAACUAUA